rnacentral:misc_RNA from 1 species
CCCUGAGGAGCGGAGAGCUUCAUUUUAUGUGGUUUCCCUGUCUCGGUGCUGCUCGUGUCCGCUGCGCUGUCGUACGCGUGCGUUGGUCAGCGCGCCUCAAAGAGGAAUCCGCCACGCCUCUCGGCGAACCCGCAUCAGCGUGCCGCUUUUGGGGGGAUAUUCCGUGUGCGUUGGGGUACCUUGCUACUCGUCGCGCUUGCUGCCUUAGCUACAUCGACUUUUUCUUUUGCGCGCUCCCCUACGCGCGCUCGUGUAGGAAUCUGCACGUGCGCAGGUGUAGACGUGCGUCGACGUGUUUGGGUCAGCCCAUCAUCGUCUGCUCGAGGGACGGUCUAAGACAUCCCUCUGCCUCGUCAUCGCCUGCCAACGUUGACCCUCCUUCGUCGAGCCGGCAGCCAUGGGCAUCUUCACGCUGUUGUCGUUCUUCUACGGUGCCGUCGGUGGUGCGACGAGCUUCCUCAUGUUCUUCUUUAUCAUCUUUCGUAAGACCGAGAGCGUUCUCUCCGACACGGUGCGCAAGAAGGCACUCAAGCACGCUGAGUUUGACGCUGUCGCCAAGGAGGCCGCGGUGGUGGCUCCCGCCAAGGUAGAGACGCUGUGCAAGAUGGUCCGCUUCGACGACGGCAUCGUCGGCGAUGCGAUUCAAUGCCGCAUGGUCUUCUACGGCAGCACCAUCGACGUGUAUCAGGUGGACAAGCUUCGCACGCUUCCAGAUCACCGCCACGAGGUUGUCUCGGAGCACAUGCUGGGACGCAUCAACCGCGCCUGCAUCAUCGCCACCUCGCAGCGCAUUUCCAAGUACCACCGCCACCGCAACCAGAGCACGCGCUAUGCCGCCAUCAAAGGCAAGUGCACUGUCCUGAACCACAAGGACGACAUGCCACUCUUCCUCGAAGAUCCGAACGCGAUCCUGAAGGAGCGACUGCGGUGCAUCAAGGAGCAUCAGGCGCAUGAGGCCAUGAUGGAGCGCCUGUGCCGCCGAUUUCGGCGUGACAGCAGCCCGAUGACGGAUAAGGAAUUCGCGGUGGAGAUGAAGGGUACGCAGGACGGGGCGUACGAUGAGAGGUCCGAUCACUUCGACACAGCGGCAAGAGGCCUAGGCUACCAGCACGAUUUGAUGGGCAUGAACACCGCCGCAACGAGCUGCCGUGGCGCCUCCAGCCUGUCGGCGUUGAACUUGCCGUGUUGCAGCUCCGGUGCCUCGGCAGGGCGCUGCAGUAACGACCUGUCGCCAGGGGCGUUGGAGGAGGCGCCACUGUCGAAAUGGACGUGCGUGGCGAUCAAGUUCCCAACGCGGCGUGUGCAGGAGCGAUGGCUCAACCUGCUGCAGUCGACGCCAGAGUCAGCGCAGUGGCACGACUUCAUCACCCACCUGCCCCAGGUGGACGUUUUCAACCUCCUCAUUGCCCGUCUCUUCUUUGAGAACUCGCGCGCCAACACGCUGCACGACUUACUGGAGGAGAAGCUCAAGAAGAAACUAGCGCGUGUGUCGAAAUCGCUGCCGCCGAAGCUGCGCGGCAACAUUUUCCUCGACUUGCUGGACGUCGGAGGCGAGAUUCCGCUAAUCAGCAACGUGAGCGAUCCGGUGUCAUCGACGUGUGGCGAUACCGAGUUCGACUUCGACGUGCUCUACCGCGGUGGCCUCGCGCUGAAGAUUCGAUUCUCGGUCCUGUACCGCGAGAUCCGCGUACCGGACAUCAUCUUCAGUAUCAAAGUACUUGAGUUGGCCGGUCGCAUGCGCUUCGUCGUGGGGCCGCCGCCGACGCGCAAGUUCUGGCUUGGCGGGCCGCAGCCUCCGCAGCUGAGACUGGAGUUCACGCAGGAGGUUGCUUCGCAUGAUGGCAUUCUGAAUGCGGUUCUGAGGCUGCUGCCGGACAUGAGCAAAAUCGCGUCGAAUAUUGUGAAAGUGCUUCUAUUCGAGGAUAUGGUGUUCCCGAACAUGGACGAUUUCCCGUGGCCUGUCUUCGGCGAGGACAGCGACGACGACGACUCUGCCACCGCGUACAGCGACCUAGCGGGCGCGGAGAAUGCGCAGAACAGCCGUCUAGCGUCACUCGGAAGCGCCCGGAACACGGGCGACGCCGGCGGUGACCGAGAACGUCGUGGCAGCAGCUGCAACAGCACCGCCGGUAGCGCUGUCAGCGAGAAUCGUGGUGUCCAGAACAGCGCGACGUCCGAGAUGCCCUCCGCACCACCGCUGCGGCCGAUACCGCAUUCCACCUCGGCUCCUAGCAUAGGGGUACCACACCCGCACUCCGGCAGUUUCGGUACCUUUGACCGUGACCAUGACGCGGGUGCGCCGUCGCUUACUCGAUCGCCUCUGCUUCAGCCCUCGCUAAGGGCCGACCCGGCGUCGGCAAUCAGUACGCUGCCCCAUGGACUACCGCCGCGACCACCGCGGGUGGCAUCCUCUGGAUUCCUGCACGGGACCGUCGCUCGUGUCCCAAAGUCACGGGCGCCGAGGUUGUUGGGCAGCCCCGCGCCGUCGGGGCCAAACUAGCGAUCUCCGUACGACAGCGCUGACGAUGCUUGCCGAAGUACCUCUGACACCUCGAGCGAUGGUAGAAGGUGCGGCAGGCGGGGUCGCUCCUGCUUCCGCGAUGCCCCGCCGCCAAAUCCGUCAUGAUGUGCAACUGUCGGCGACGAGCGUUGCGAAGUGAGGUGAAAAGAGCACCCAUUCGCACACGCUGCGGUUGUGAAUGCGAGUGCAGCGUCAUGGAGCAACAGCGGUUGGCCCAGGCGCACGCUCUUCGUUCGCUGUGCUCCUCUGCCUCGAUGCCUUAGCCGCCACCAGCAUCAUCGCUGCCGCUGUCGUGCGGCGUCACUGCCAUGCUAUUCCCGCACACCCUCUGCUUUUCAUACGUCGCCGCGCAAGCGGUGCUUUAUACCUGUGCGCCUCUUUUCAUGCAGAGGGGAGGGGGGAAGAAGGUGGGGGAGCACGCUUACAGAGAUGUGCACCAAUGCCCGGGAGCGCACAUGCGCGUGCUGUGCACUCUCGUUAGGUGCUCCUCACGCUCUCGCCUCCUUCCAAACGGC